rnacentral:lncRNA from 1 species
CCAGGCUGCAGUGCGGUGGCGUGAUCUCAGCUCACUGCAACCUGCGCCUCCCAGGCUCAAGCGAUUCUUGUGCCUCAGCCUGCCAAGUAGCUGGGAUUACAGGCGCCCCCCACCACGCCCAGCUGAUUUUUGUAUUUUUAGUAGAGACAGGGUUUACACCAUAUUGGCCAGGCUGGUCUUGAAUUCCUGACCUUGUGAUCUGCCUGCCUCGGUCUCCCAAAGUGCUGGGAUUACAUGUGUGAGCCACCGUGCCUGGCCUACAAAUUCUUAAAGGAAGCCGUAUCACUAAGGUUGUAUAGAAUACUGAUUGUCACAGCUAUGGCUGUUCUCUAGAAUUCAUCUCCAUAUGAGAGGGGUCCAUACCCAGGGUCUGGGGGUAUGCAUUGCUGUACUGGCUCUGGAAAUCUUUCUCACACCCUUGAACAAAGAGAUCUCACUUGCUAGUCCACAAAUGCCACAUGUGGACAUGCAGACCCACUCACCCUGUGCUGCCUCCACAUCUGUCAAGCCCUGAAACGCUUCACAAGACAGACUUUUCUCUUCGAAGGGAAACCCUAUCUUGGCAUUUUACUCUACGCUGUUCUUUUUUUUUGAGACUUGAGUCUUGCUCUGUUGCCCAGGCUGGAGUGCAACAGCCCAAUCUCAGCUCACUGGAAACUCCACCUCCCAGGUUCAAGGGAUUCUUUUUUUUUUUUUUUUUUUGGAGACAGGGUCUUGCUCUGUUGCCCAGGUUGAAGUGCAAUGGUACAAUCAUGGCUCACUAUAGCCUGGAACUCCCAGGCUUAAGUGAUCCUCCUGCCUCAACCUCUCAAGUAGCUGGGACCACA